rnacentral:tRNA from 1 species
GGCGGGAUAGCUCAGUUGGUUAGAGCACGGGAAUCAUAAUCCUGGGGUCGGUGGUUCGAAUCCACUUCCCGCUA